rnacentral:rRNA from 1 species
AUUGAACGCUGGCGGCAGGCCUAACACAUGCAAGUCGAACGGUAGCACAGAGAGCUUGCUCUCGGGUGACGAGUGGCGGACGGGUGAGUAAUGUCUGGGAAACUGCCCGAUGGAGGGGGAUAACUACUGGAAACGGUAGCUAAUACCGCAUAACGUCGCAAGACCAAAGUGGGGGACCUUCGGGCCUCACACCAUCGGAUGUGCCCAGAUGGGAUUAGCUAGUAGGUGGGGUAAUGGCUCACCUAGGCGACGAUCCCUAGCUGGUCUGAGAGGAUGACCAGCCGCACUGGAACUGAGGCACGGUCCAGACUCCUACGGGAGGCAGCAGUGGGGAAUAUUGCACAAUGGGCGCAAGCCUGAUGCAGCCAUGCCGCGUGUAUGGAGAAGGCCUUCGGGUUGUAAAGUACUUUCAGCGGGGAGGAAGGCGGUGAAGUUAAUAACUUCACCGAUUGACGUUACCCGCAGAAGAAGCACCGGCUAACUCCGUGCCAGCCGCCGCGGUAA